rnacentral:sRNA from 1 species
UUUUUUACGUCAAAACAAAUUCAUUGAUUAAAUAGAGUUGUUACAGUGAUGUUUUUGAAGCCAACUAGGAAGAGUUCUAGAAUCAGAAUAAAAACAAGAUGAAUUACAACCAAAUUUCGCCAAAUCAUGUGUUAUCUUAUUGCCCUCCCUCUUGAUGAAUUUAAAUUGAAUGUUACUGAAUUUUGCUGCCCAAAACUGAAUAUUUG